GUGCUUGCUUUUGUAGCACAUAUACUAAAAUUGGAACAAUACAGAGAAGAUUAGCAUGCCCUCUGCAUGAGGAUGGCACACAAAUUCGUGAAGUGUUUCAUAUUUUA